UACGUAGGGUGUAAGCGUUAAUCGGAAUUACUGGGCGUAAAGCGUGCGCAGGCGGUUCGCUAAGACCGAUGUGAAAUCCCCGGGCUUAACCUGGGAACUGCAUUGGUGACUGGCGGGCUAGAGUGUGGCAGAGGGGGGUAGAAUUCCACGUGUAGCAGUGAAAUGCGUAGAGAUGUGGAGGAAUACCGAUGGCGAAGGCAGCCCCCUGGGCUAACACUGACGCUCAUGCACGAAAGCGUGGGGAGCAAACAGG
rnacentral:rRNA from 1 species